UACGGAGGGAGCUAGCGUUGUUCGGAUAUACUGGGCGUAAAGCGCACGUAGGCGGCGCAGCAAGUCAGGGGUGAAAUCCCGGAGCUCAACUCCGGAACUGCCUUUGAAACUGCAGUGCUAGAAUCCUGGAGAGGCGAGUGGAAUUCCGAGUGUAGAGGUGAAAUUCGUAGAUAUUCGGAAGAACACCAGUGGCGAAGGCGGCUCACUGGCCCGAUACUGACGCUGAGGCACGAAAGCGUGGGGAGCAAACAGG
rnacentral:rRNA from 1 species